rnacentral:rRNA from 1 species
GACGAACGCUGGCGGCGUGCCUAAUACAUGCAAGUUGAGCGCUGAAGGUUGGUACUUGUACCAACUGGAUGAGCAGCGAACGGGUGAGUAACGCGUGGGGAAUCUGCCUUUGAGCGGGGGACAACAUUUGGAAACGAAUGCUAAUACCGCAUAAAAACUUUAAACACAAGUUUUAAGUUUGAAAGAUGCAAUUGCAUCACUCAAAGAUGAUCCCGCGUUGUAUUAGCUAGUUGGUGAGGUAAAGGCUCACCAAGGCGAUGAUACAUAGCCGACCUGAGAGGGUGAUCGGCCACAUUGGGACUGAGACACGGCCCAAACUCCUACGGGAGGCAGCAGUAGGGAAUCUUCGGCAAAGGACGAAAGUCUGACCGAGCAACGCCGCGUGAGUGAAGAAGGUUUUCGGAUCGUAAAACUCUGUUGGUAGAGAAGAACGUUGGUGAGAGUGGAAAGCUCAUCAAGUGACGGUAACUAACCAGAAAGGGACGGCUAACUACGU